rnacentral:misc_RNA from 1 species
GAAAUGCGAUAAGUAAUGUGAAUUGCAGAUUUCAGUGGAUCAUCGAAUCUUUGAACGCACAUUGCGCCCUUUGGUAUUCCGAAGGGCAUGCCUGUCUGAGCGUCAAAAGUCAAUCAAACGUCAGUUUGGUAUUGGAAGACGAGGUUGCCCGAACGUUAAAACGGCGGCUUCCCUUCCGCAAGGCAUCGGCGGCGUAGGCCCCGGUCAGCGAGACGUGGUAAUAUUAUUUUUGCAUCGUCUGAGUCGGCCGGCGGCGAUGGCUUGCCGCAAACCCCAACGCACACUGAGCUUGACCUCAGAUCAGGUAGGGAAACCCCCUGAACUUAA